UACAUCCUCCAAACCAACAAACCAUCUCACUUCUUGUACUCCCUCUCUUGAUCACAACCUUGAUCUCUCUCUCUCUCUCUCUCUCUCUCUCUCUCUAUCUCUCUCUCUCUCUCUCUCUCUCUUGUGACAAAAGCCACAAGUUUUAAGGAACUUGACAAGGAUAUUACAUCAAGAACACACUCAUAG